GGACUACUGGGGUUUCUAAUCCUGUUUGCUCCCCACGCUUUCGCACCUCAGCGUCAGUAUCUGCCCAGAUCGCCGCCUUCGCCACUGGUGUUCCUCCCGAUAUCUACGAAUUUCACCUCUACACCGGGAAUUCCGCGAUCCUCUUCAGUACUCAAGCUCGCCAGUUUCGGAUGCACGUCCUCAGUUGAGCUGAGGGAUUUCACGUCCGACUUGGCAAGCCGCCUACGUGCGCUUUACGCCCAAUGAUUCCGAGCAACGUUUGCACCCUUCGUAUUACCGCGGCUGCUGGCAC
rnacentral:rRNA from 1 species